CAUCGCCGAGUUCGGUUGAUGCAAAGGUCGUUCAAACGUCCCUUGGCAGUUUUUGGUAUCAGCUCCUCUUCGCAAAGUGCACGCUGCUUCGGGAUUACUGAUGCAGGUCAUCUGUGCGGGAACUCGGGACAAUUGGAGCACAAUCAUUGCAUGAGAAAUCAGCUAGCUGCUGGGGAUCAAAUAGUCACGUCUUUGAACAGGAGAAAGUGAGGACUGCAGAUGCUGGAGAUC